GGAGGUGAUUGAGGUGCUUAAGUGCAGAGUUUUGUGUUGUGGAGUUUUGUUAGUUGUGAAAGUGGAGUGCAUUUUUAGUGCAUUCAGGUUGGAAUGGGUUUGGAUUUUCUUCUACUUUCUCUGCUUUGAAAACAUUAUAAUCUUGUAAGUGUUAAUUUUUGACUAGUUCUAGCAUAGACUUAGGACAGGAAGAAGCCUGUUUAGGGCUGUUGGAGUUUGGAUCUUGUGCAAUGUGUGGGAGUUGUGCUCCAGCUAUUUUUCUGUUAGGUAUAUGAGAAAAGGCAGGGGGAGUAGGAAGAGCUCAAGCUUUGCUUAUUUUUUUAUGCUGCAAACAGGGUAGCUCUGUAGAGGAAAAAGGAUUUGAAGUGUUGACCUGGAAUGUUAAAGUCAUGGGUAACACUUGACAGCAUUUUCUCUCUUAGGAGUAUCUCAGAUAUAUGGGAAGGUGGUCAAGGACAGGAGCUGCUGCUACUGCCCUUUUGACUGGAAAUAGUAGGUGCCAAUAGAAUCAAGAGCAGGAUAAACAAAUAAGAUGCAGGACAAUUGCAAGAGCUCUCAGAGUCCCGGUGUUUCAGGCCUGCAGAAGCUCUGCCUUGUGUACCAGGCUGUGGGGCUGCCUGAGGAGCUUUCGCAAAUAGCACUUUAAUGUGGCUUAUUGCAAGCUGUGCAGCACUCACACAACUGCGCAGUAUUUACUGGUUGGAAUUGUUGGGCCAGCUGGACCACAGUGCACACAGCCAUGUGUCUUCCCAGAAGUCAGCGAGAUGCGUGUUUGCACAUCCCAGCAAGCUCUGCUUCAUCCAUGUGUCCACUGACCCCUGUUGUCUCUUACUCUGUGCUGAUGGCACGUGCCAGACCCCACGUUGUCUCAGUGCCAGCUGACCGCAGGAUCCAUCCAGCCGACCGCUUUGCGGUGAUGAAUUGCUGUAUUUGCUGCUGGCUGCAUAUGGCAGAGAGCUUAAGAUCUCCAUGAAGGAAAAUGAUUAUCGUUGAGUCACGCCAAUAGCUGCGACGCUGGCUGCCUGCCCCCGCCAGCCUGCUGCACCACUUGUGUGCUAAUGUUUGGAUCCUAGUGAUGGGAAAUGAAUGUCAGCCUGUACUCUCUUCACGCACCAUUGAGCUGUGCUUAUGGUCGCUUUUGGCAGCACCAAAUCAUCAAACAGAUAAAACCAUCAGUCUUUUUAUUUCCAAACAUUAACCUAACCGCUAAUGAAGCACAGCUCGUGUCAUCCUUAUGGACUCUGCAGAGCUGAGUCACACGAUAAACGGGAUCCGAAUGCUGGAAAAUGGCUCGCGCUUCUUCCUCGUGCUGCAGCCAGGCCUGCUGUGUGAGCGGGGCCCGUCCAGAGGAGUUCUGCCUCAGGCCUGCAUGCUAGAGCUGGGUGGGAAAGCUGGUGGAGCUGGGCUCUGUCUACCCAGCACAGCGUGGGGCUGUGACCUGUGUGUUUUGGGGUGUGCACAGUGGGCCAUUCAGCCCCAGUUCUGGUGGGGAGGGCUUUCCAGUCCCCAAGGUGGAGGAAAUGGAGCAAUCCUCCCUCCCCAUGGACUUUGCCUCCAGUGGCUUGAACGUAUUUUUCCCCAAACAUCUCCCAGCGAAACUGGAGGGGUUUUGUAAAUUCAUUAUGUCACGGAGGAAUCUGUUUAAUCAGCUGCCUUUCCCCAGAGGCGCUUUGCGCUUAAUGAGACGCUUGAUGGAAGGAAUCAAAAUUGGUUCAUACGAGUUUAGCCUGAGAGCCUCCAGCCAACGUAUUACUGAGUGCACUGUAAUUUAGAGGGGUAAAUGGAGAGGCUGAGCAAUUAUCACCCUGCUUGCUUGAGGUCAGUGGCGGGGUGAAAGGUAAAACCUAGAGCUCUGCAUUGCACCAUCCCCUUCCUAGGUGUCAUCGUGAUAAAUAGCACAAGUCUCUGUGCGACCAGGAGCCUGCUCCCUGCUGCUGGUGUGACCUGUUGGGCUCUCUUCCUUCCCACUGCAAUUUGCAGUCACGCAGUAAGGCACGUUUCUUGCUUAGCUUAAGUCUGAGGAUGUCUCACUAAUUCAGUAAGUAUCCGUAUGAGGCAUACAGCAUGUAUGUGGAAAAGGCAUCAGGAACAUAGAGAGCUAGAUAGUGGGACACAGAGCUGCAGCGUGGAAUAGUUCCAACUUUAGGUCCAAAAUCCAUUAUUAAAAUCUUCCCUUGUGAAAUUAAUGUAUGAAGAGCAAUCCUUUGUUUCCUCUGCACAUCCACCUUCUUCAGCUGCCUGUUCUAACCACCAGAUGUCAGUUACUUUGUGACCUGCCUUCCUGUGGCGGGCCAGCUCUGUUACUUUAGUUACUUUUCCAAGCGUCCAUGAUGCAUCUUUUCUCUGUGUCAUUCUGUUUAAAGCUAGUGGUUUAUUACUCACCUGAGAAUAGUUUAUAAUUCUGUGUAAUUGCUUGUUUCUGGGAUGUAGGUAUGUAGAUCUUGGUGCAGUUAAGAUAUGGUUGCUUUGUGUGAACUGCUUAAGAUAUGUAGCUUAGAAUUAAAAGCAUUUUUUUUUUCUCACAAAGAUGAUGUUUAAUGGACAAAAAAAUAGAUCAUUCAUCACAUCACAUUUAUUUUACUUUCAACCAUUACAGUCAAUGGUCUAUGUAGUGUAUCCAU